GAGGCUGGUUAAGCGCGAGGUCAUUAUAGUAAUAUAAUGAAAGAAAAUUUCGCUAUAUGACCGGAACCCUAAAAAAGUUUAGGGAAGCCGGUAACGUCAAUAAAGUCGUGAGACUUAAGACGUUCUGGAAACUCUAUUAUCGGCCGCUGAUAGUUCCUAAUUUUUAGGACACGGUAAUAGACAAUCAGCAGGCAACUCCGUUAAACGGAGGCGCCUCAGAGACUACACGCGAAACCCCUACUUAAUAAAAUAAGAGGGUGAUGAUAUAGUCCAACCUAAAACCAUAAAUUGG
rfam:Parcubacteria bacterium GW2011_GWF2_45_11 TW91_C0014, whole genome shotgun sequence.